UGCUAUCCUCAGGUGCUCAAAGGGUUUGUUCCUUUAAACUUCACCACCGCAGCAUUUUUUUUUUUUUUUUUUUUUUUUUUUUUUUUUUUUUUUUUUUUUUUUUUUUUUUUUUUUUUUUUUUUUUUUUUUUUUUUUUUUUUUUUUUUUUUUUUUUUUUUUUUUUUUUUUUUUUUUUUUUUUUUUUUUUUUUUUUUUUUUUUUUUUUUUUUUUUUUUUUUUUUUUUUUUUUUUUUUUUUUUUUUUUUUUUUUUUUUUUUUUUUUUUUUUUUUUUUUUUUUUUUUUUUUUUUUUUUUUUUUUUUUUUUUUUUUUUUUUUUUUUUUUUUUUUUUUUUUUUUUUUUUUUUUUUUUUUUUUUUUUUUUUUUUUUUUUUUUUUUUUUUUUUUUUUUUUUUUUUUUUUUUUUUUUUUUUUUUUUUUUUUUUUUUUUUUUUUUUUUUUUUUUUUUUUUUUUUUUUUUUUUUUUUUUUUUUUUUUUUUUUUUUUUUUUUUUUUUUUUUUUUUUUUUUUUUUUUUUUUUUUUUUUUUUUUUUUUUUUUUUUUUUUUUUUUUUUUUUUUUUUUUUUUUUUUUUUUUUUUUUUUUUUUUUUUUUUUUUUUUUUUUUUUUUUUUUUUUUUUUUUUUUUUUUUUUUUUUUUUUUUUUUUUUUUUUUUUUUUUUUUUUUUUUUUUUUUUUUUUUUUUUUUUUUUUUUUUUUUUUUUUUUUUUUUUUUUUUUUUUUUUUUUUUUUUUUUUUUUUUUUUUUUUUUUUUUUUUUUUUUUUUUUUUUUUUUUUUUUUUUUUUUUUUUUUUUUUUUUUUUUUUUUUUUUUUUUUUUUUUUUUUUUUUUUUUUUUUUUUUUUUUUUUUUUUUUUUUUUUUUUUUUUUUUUUUUUUUUUUUUUUUUUUUUUUUUUUUUUUUUUUUUUUUUUUUUUUUUUUUUUUUUUUUUUUUUUUUUUUUUUUUUUUUUUUUUUUUUUUUUUUUUUUUUUUUUUUUUUUUUUUUUUUUUUUUUUUUUUUUUUUUUUUUUUUUUUUUUUUUUUUUUUUUUUUUUUUUUUUUUUUUUUUUUUUUUUUUUUUUUUUUUUUUUUUUUUUUUUUUUUUUUUUUUUUUUUUUUUUUUUUUUUUUUUUUUUUUUUUUUUUUUUUUUUUUUUUUUUUUUUUUUUUUUUUUUUUUUUUUUUUUUUUUUUUUUUUUUUUUUUUUUUUUUUUUUUUUUUUUUUUUUUUUUUUUUUUUUUUUUUUUUUUUUUUUUUUUUUUUUUUUUUUUUUUUUUUUUUUUUUUUUUUUUUUUUUUUUUUUUUUUUUUUUUUUUUUUUUUUUUUUUUUUUUUUUUUUUUUUUUUUUUUUUUUUUUUUUUUUUUUUUUUUUUUUUUUUUUUUUUUUUUUUUUUUUUUUUUUUUUUUUUUUUUUUUUUUUUUUUUUAUUUAUUACAAAAAUAAGCAAUAACAAACUAUCUGAACAUCUUUUAUCUUCAUCCAUAAUGACUGUAUAAAUACCGUAUUCAAGAAGUCAACAGCAUGAUACUACUACC
rnacentral:lncRNA from 1 species